UUAUUAUAUAAUAGUUUUGAGGUGACAGUUCUAUCAAACUCAGACACAUUAAAAACAUGACGCUCCUAGGAAAGAGGAGAAGAGGGUUUGAGAUUGACAUAGGUACUGUCUCUACUAAGUAGCAAGGAAAAUGGUGUCCCAUAUUUUAGACUACAUGUCGGAAAUGUAGUCUGUUUUAGUGUCAAAUUAUGUUUUCCAUCGCCGGAUCUCCCUGCCUGUCU